UUCAGAACUGGGCACAAGGAACAGAUAAAUGCCACAAUCAAAGGCGACAAAAACCAUCCCAAACUCUCCCAGCCCCGCGGCACCCACGGGGUGGGGGCCAGGCCUGAUGGACAAUUAAUAUUUUUAUCUGCUCCAUGUAUCCAAACAACGGCGAGGGGGAAGGAAAUACUCCUAAUUAGCCAAGUGCUCAGGGCGCUGAGCAAUCACGUCCCUCCCAUUUCCAGAGAAACCCAAUUUAGAUUUUAAAAGCCCCCGCUCCCCAUUUCUCCUCAGCGUCUCAGAUCCUCACAGUCUCAGCUCCUCAGCCUCUCAGCUCCUCAGCGUUUCCUCUCGAGCUCCUUCUGAUCCAGGUCUCCAACCAUGUCCUCCCGCCAGGACGAGGAACCGUCCUCCCAGCACAGCGGGGAAUCCCGUUGUGUCUGGGGCAUUGGCAGACCCGCUAGCCCCGGGAGAGGCGGCGGAUCCGGUAGCUCCGGGAGAGGCGGCGGAUCCGGUAGCCCCGGGAGAGGUGGCGGAUCCAGUAGCCGUGGGAGAGGUGGCAAACCUGCUAGCCCCGGGAGCGGUGGCGGAUCCGGUAGCCACACAAGCAGUGGCGGAUCCGGUAGCCACGCAGACAGUGGCGGAUCCGUUAGCCACGGGAGCAGCGGUGGAUCUGGUUGCCAUAUGAGCAACAGCGGAUUCAAUUUCCACGGGAACAUUUCUGGCAGCCAAGGGAGCAGCGGAUCGGGAUUCCAUGGGGCCAGCGUCGCAUCCUGCCAUGGGAAUACGGAGGUGUGCCUCCAGCACAUCCACAGAAAACCCUCGGAUGACAAGUGAUCACCCCACCAGGUGAUCCACAGGAGUGCCCUGGAUCCUGUGCCACCUUCCGAAAGCUUUGCCUGUGCCCAGGAAUUUUUAAUUUCCGAGGACAAUGUGUCCUUCCCCUCCCCUGGUGUGUCCUGUAACCCGUCCUGAGCUUGUCUGUGGGUGCUGAAAUAAACGCUUUGCUCAGCUGGCA